GUGAUAAUUAAUAAUAAACACUCCGUGACUGUAACAGAGAUGUCAUAAAAAACAAAUAAAAAGUGAAAAAUAAAUAUAGUUUAAAAAAACUGAAAAACACUAAUAUUAUUGUGAAAAAAAGCAUUAUUGCUUUGUGCCAUAUUUUUCGUAUAUUUAGCGCCCGACACUUUUUUAGCUUUGAUGCGAAACUGAGAAGGUAUUAAUUUCACUAUGUGUUUUUUUUGUGUGUCUGUGAACGCUCAAUCUCAUCUCUCGCUGUAAAUGUUAAAAAUAAUUAGUCCAAAUUUUCAAUUUUAACCUAUUUUUUUGGUUCUUUAAAGUUGAUGACUUACGCUGUUGUUCGGUUAUACGUUUAGUAUCGAUGGUAAUGAAACGUAUAAGGCGUAUGAAAAUCGUCUCAAUGAAAAUUCAGGUAAGAAAUUAAAACUGUAUGUUACGGUGCGAUACUAUCUACGUGAAAUUACUUUUCAAUUCUUCUUGUUCAGGAUAUGAUGUUUAUGGAUUUUACUGUUCGACGUCUAAUGACCAGCAGCCUAGAAUUAAACUCUAUAAACACAAAGAGUUUGCCGAUUAUAACACUCGUUUAAAGACUUUUGAAAACUGUCCGAAAAAUUGGAAUCAAAAAUAUCAACACUUUGUGAUGCUGGAUUUUUAUACAUAGGUAAUGGACAAAAUGAUCAAAUGUUAUGUUACUGCUGCAGUCAAGGUUUGAAAGAUUGGGAUGAUGAAGACGACCCAUGGGUAGAACAUGUGCGUUGGUCUCCUAGCUGUACACAUAUAUUGUUAUUGUUUUUUCAUAUACUACUACUGUUUUUCACGGCCAUUCUUGUGUAUUUUCAACAGUCAUUUAAUUGUCAUUAAAUAUAUUCAAAAACCCGAUCCAGUGUCUUUUUAAAGUAUAUUUCUGUUUUCGUGUAUUGAACCAAAAAAUUGGAACAAUUAAAACAAAAAAUGAAUAAUCAAGCCAAAGGCAUGGAAUACAUUAAAAUGUCUGACCUGGUAGAGAAUCAUGUCUAUCGAAUGGUUUCAUUGAAAAAUUUGACAACGAAAAAUGGUAUUGUGGUGGUGUCACGGACAAGUUUUUGUCCCCAGAAUACAGUUGACGGACGAUGAAAUUAAAACGUACAACGACGGCGACACCAAAAUGUCUCUGUGUUACAGAGGAAAAACGGAAAAUGCUUAUUAAUUUGAUUUUCAAUAAAAUUUUUUUAAUGUAUUAACUUUACUUUCUUUUA